UACGGAGGGGGCUAGCGUUGUUCGGAAUUACUGGGCGUAAAGCGCACGUAGGUGGCUUUGUAAGUUAGAGGUGAAAGCCCGGGGCUCAACUCCGGAAUUGCCUUUAAGACUGCAUCGCUAGAACGUCAGAGAGGUAAGUGGAAUUCCGAGUGUAGAGGUGAAAUUCGUAGAUAUUCGGAAGAACACCAGUGGCGAAGGCGACUUACUGGACGACUGUUGACACUGAGGUGCGAAAGCGUGGGGAGCAAACAGG
rnacentral:rRNA from 1 species